GCCUGGCUGGCUUAGUCGGUAGAACAUGUGACUCUAGAUCUCAGGGUCAUGAGUUAGAGUCCCAUGUUGGGUG
rnacentral:tRNA from 1 species